rnacentral:rRNA from 1 species
GAUGAACGCUGGCGGCGUGCCUAAUACAUGCAAGUCGAGCGAACAGAUGAGGAGCUUGCUCCUCUGACGUUAGCGGCGGACGGGUGAGUAACACGUGGAUAACCUACCUAUAAGACUGGGAUAACUUCGGGAAACCGGAGCUAAUACCGGAUAAUAUAUUGAACCGCAUGGUUCAAUAGUGAAAGACGGUUUUGCUGUCACUUAAAGAUGGAUCCGCGCCGCAUUGGCUAGUUGGUAAGGUAACGGCUUACCAAGGCAACGAUGCGUAGCCGACCUGAGAGGGUGAUCGGCCACACUGGAACUGAGACACGGUCCAGACUCCUACGGGAGGCAGCAGUAGGGAAUCUUCCGCAAUGGGCGAAAGCCUGACGGAGCAACGCCGCGUGAGUGAUGAAGGUCUUCGGAUCGUAAAACUCUGUUAUUAGGGAAGAACAAAUGUGUAAGUAACUAUGCACGUCUUGACGGUACCUAAUCAGAAAGCCACGGCUAACUACGUG